UACGAAGGGGGCUAGCGUUGUUCGGAAUUACUGGGCGUAAAGCGUGCGCAGGCGGCUCAUCAAGUCAGAGGUGAAAGCCCAGGGCUUACCCUGGGAACUGCAUUUGUGACUGCAAGACUAGAGUGUGGCAGAGGGGGGUAGAAUUCCACGUGUAGCAGUGAAAUGCGUAGAUAUGUGGAGAAAUACCGAUGGCGAAGGCAGCCCCCUGGGUCAACACUGACGCUCAUGCACGAAAGCGUGGGGAGCAAACAGG
rnacentral:rRNA from 1 species